rnacentral:rRNA from 1 species
AUCCUACGGGAGGCAGCAGUGAGGAAUAUUGGUCAAUGGCCGAAGGGCUGAACCAGCCAAGCCGCGUGAAGGAAUAAGGCCCUACGGGUCGUAAACUUCUUUAGUCAGGGAACAAAGGGUGCCACGUGUGGCGCUGUGAGUGUACCUGAAGAAUAAGCAUCGGCUAACUCCGUGCCAGCAGCCGCGGUAAUACGGAGGAUGCGAGCGUUAUCCGGAUUUAUUGGGUUUAAAGGGUGCGUAGGCGGUCGGAUAAGUUAGAGGUGAAAUCCCGAGGCUCAACUUCGGAAUUGCCUCUGAUACUGUUC